CACGUAGGGCGCAAGCGUUGUCCGGAAUUAUUGGGCGUAAAGAGCUCGUAGGCGGUCUGUUACGUCUGCUGUGAAAACCCGGGGCUUAACCCUGGGCUUGCAGUGGAUACGGGCAGACUAGAGGCAGGUAGGGGAGAAUGGAAUUCCCGGUGUAGCGGUGAAAUGCGCAGAUAUCGGGAGGAACACCGGUGGCGAAGGCGGUUCUCUGGGCCUGACCUGACGCUGAUGCGCGAAAGCGUGGGGAGCAAACGGG
rnacentral:rRNA from 1 species